rnacentral:rRNA from 1 species
AGUGAACGCCGGCGGUAGGCCUAACACAUGCAAGUCGAACGGCAGCACAGUAAGAGCUUGCUCUUACGGGUGGCGAGUGGCGGACGGGUGAGGAAUACAUCGGAAUCUACUUUUUCGUGGGGGAUAACGUAGGGAAACUUACGCUAAUACCGCAUACGACCUACGGGUGAAAGCAGGGGAUCUUCGGACCUUGCGCGAUUGAAUGAGCCGAUGUCGGAUUAGCUAGUUGGCGGGGUAAAGGCCCACCAAGGCGACGAUCCGUAGCUGGUCUGAGAGGAUGAUCGGCGGCACUGGAGCUGAGACACGGUCCAGACUCCUACGGGAGGCAGCAGUGGGGAAUAGUGGGCAGUGGGCGGAAGCCUGAUCCAGCCAGACCGCGUGGGUGAAAGAGGCCUUCGGGUUGUAAAGCCCUUUUGUUGGGAAAGAAAAGCAGCAGGUUGUUACCCCGCUGUUCUGACGGUACCCAAAGAAUAAGCACCGGCUAACUUCGUG